UUUCUGAAGAUGCAGAAUUUAGCUCAUUAGUGAGCAUUGAACCAAACAGGAAUUGUUCACAGUGGCUAAGUUCAGUGUCUGACAUGAAAGAAU
ensembl:miRNA